AAAAGUUGUCGGUGGGUUCUGGGAGUCGUAGUUUAAUAAUAUCUGGAGGCCACGGCUUGCCCACCCCAGAUAUAUAUUGUGCAACUUUAUUUCCCAUUGUGUAUGUGUUACUUUGUGCCAGUGAUUAAGUGCUAGGGAGUGAUGAUUACCCCGGAUUAUCCGUGACAGGCAGCUUGUGAUACAAUACAGCAGCAGAGUGAGUUUAUGGUGCUCCUUAUAUACCUCUUAUACAAUAGCCAAGGCAGACAUUUAUUUCAUGAAGGCACUUGCUGCUAAGGAAGAAGAUGUAAGGAAAGGAUGGGAGCUCCUGCUGGGCUUUGGGGGCUGGGAAAGAUCCAACAACAUGACAGCCUCAGAUUAUUGGAAAUGUCUUUCAGCUAAACUGUCAUAUUUCCAACUUUAUCGUGUGGCUCCCGUGAGAGAGAAGGUAGAGACUGCAAGCUGGCUGCAAGCGGCUGCUGCACUUUCCAUGAGGGUGCCACGAGCCCAGCAUGCCUCUGCCCUUCUGCCCACCGAGUCCCUGGCACCGGGCUUUCCAUCUCCUUCCCUCAGAAAGCACUAAUUGCUCUGCUCCCUUCCUCCACACACCUUCACUAAUUUUCCAUUUCUUAUUCUGCGGGUAGAGGGGAAGACGUCUGAAGGAAUACGGCACAUUCUCUUAGCUACAGCAUGAAUAGAGUGAGACAUGUCCAUCAAGUCAUCUGUAAGGGUCGUUUGGUAAAUUAGCAGCUGUGCCGUAUAAUCAGGUAUCCGCCACUGAGGCCAAUGUGCAGCCCCGCUUAACCAGGGCUCAGUUCUGGAAGACAGAAUUACUCCAGGUCACAAUGGUCGUGAAUAUUUACUUUUAGUUUCAUAAAUUGUCCUAAA